rnacentral:rRNA from 1 species
UACGUAGGUGGCAAGCGUUGUCCGGAAUUACUGGGUGUAAAGGGCGUGUAGGCGGGAAUGUAAGUCAGAUGUGAAAUCCCAGAGCUUAACUCUGGAGCUGCAUCUGAAACUGUGUUUCUUGAGUGUCGGAGAGGAAAGCGGAAUUCCUAGUGUAGCGGUGAAAUGCGUAGAUAUUAGGAGGAACACCAGUGGCGAAGGCGGCUUUCUGGACGAUAACUGACGCUGAGGCGCGAAAGCGUGGGGAGCAAACAGG